rnacentral:tRNA from 1 species
AAGCGAGAAGCAAAUUCUUGCAGUCAGUUUCGACCUGACCUUAGAUAGUAAAAUUAUCCUCGCUUU